UACGUAGGGUGCAAGCGUUAAUCGGAAUUACUGGGCGUAAAGGGCGCGUAGGCGGAUAGUUUAGUCAGAGGUAAAAGCCCAGGGCUCAACCUUGGAACUGCCUUUGAUACUGGCUAUCUUGAGUACGGGAGAGGUGUGUGGAACUCCGAGUGUAGAGGUGAAAUUCGUAGAUAUUCGGAAGAACACCAGUGGCGAAGGCGACACACUGGCCCGUUACUGACGCUGAGGCGCGAAAGCGUGGGGAGCAAACAGG
rnacentral:rRNA from 1 species